rnacentral:misc_RNA from 1 species
AAAGAACUGUUCCUGGUUUACAUUCUGUGUGUUGUCCUUGGUGGUCGUGAACAAGUGUUGGCAAAUGGUCAUAAAUUGAAUAAUGUCCUGUCUGAAAUUUGCUUAGGAUUAAUUGUAUGGGACCUGCUCAAUAUAUUUUAUGUUAAUACUCUCAUUUUCAAUUUGGUCAUUGUGGUUAUUUUGUUUGUGUUUUUAUUAGCGCCAAGAAGCUUGUGUAAUCAAAUAAUGGUGUUGGAUAUGCAUCUAGAGUCAUACACCAGUUGCUAUGGGUAGAAUGAUGAUUAUGAUUCCAUGGUAGCACUAGCUGAUUUGAUUUAAAUCUCCCUGUCACAGUUUUU